GUGGGGAAUCUUGCACAAUGGGGGAAACCCUGAUGCAGCGACGCCGCGUGAACGAUGAAGCCCUUCGGGGUGUAAAGUUCUUUCGGCAGGGACGAUAAUGACGGUACCUGCAGAAGCAGCUGCGGCUAACUACGUGCCAGCAGCCGCGGUAAUACGUAGGCAGCAAGCGUUGUUCGGAAUUACUGGGCGUAAAGAGUGCGUAGGCGGUUGGCUAAGUUUGGUGUGAAAUCUCCCGGCUCAACUGGGAGGGUGCGCCGAAAACUGGCUAGCUAGAGUGCGGGAGGGGAUAGUGGAAUUCCUGGUGUAGCGGUGAAAUGCGUAGAUAUCAGGAGGAACACCUGAGGUGUAGACGGCUAUCUGGACCGUAACUGACGCUGAGGCACGAAAGCGUGGGGAGCAAACAGGAUUAGAAACCCUGGUAGUCC
rnacentral:rRNA from 1 species